AUUUUCUAAAAUAGAUUUUCUUAUGGACCAAAUUGGAGGUAUCAAAGAGAUGAUUUAGUAGCAACGCAUGGAUUCAGUUCAAUCGGAGAAUCUACAAUCGACUGGUGGACCCUCAGUUGGGAAUCAUUAAUGUGUAGAGAGAAUGCGGCCAUGCAAGUUGUGCUCUUGGCGUAAAGAGCUCAUUGCUCAAGGGCGAGUUAUUUUGGCAGAUGGGCCCCAAAUGAUUCAUGGUAAACCUCUUCAAGAAGAUGUUUACAAGGUUGCCAUUGAUAUCAUUAUCAAAGGAGACGUCGAAUUGCCUGAGCUAGACGGAUAUCAUUCGACUGUAAGCGAAGUUGGAAUUGGCUCAUUUGUUGCAUGGCAUCAUUGCUUUACUGAGUUCACCGAUUAGCGACAAUAGUCUAAUACUUUUUUGGACACAUAACCUUUUUGGACUGUAUAUAUGUUUUGAUUGUAUAACUUACUUGAUUAGUUGUUUCUAUAGACUAGACAUGAUAGAUGUAAUGCAG